ensembl:lncRNA
GUUUCUACUUCCUAUUGGAACACUUCUAUUUGAGAAGGAGGUGUGGCCUCUGUGUGUCAGUCCAAGUGAAGGAGGUGUGGCCUCUGUGUUUCAGCUCCUCGAAGGCAGUGUGGCCUCUGUGUGUCAGUCCCAGUAAAGGAGGUGUGGCCUCUAUGUUUCAGUCCCAGUGAAGGAGGUGCGGCCUUUAUGUUUCAGUCCCAGUGAAGGAGGUGUGGCCUCUGUGUUUCAGUCCCAGUGAAGGAGGUGUGGCCUCUAUGUUUCAGUCCCAGUGAAGGAGGUGUGGCCUCUGUGUUUCAGUCCCAGUGAAGGAGGUGUGGCCUCUGUGUGUCAGUCCCAGUGAAGGAGGUGUGGCCUCUAUGUUUCAGUCCCAGUGAAGGAGGCGUGGCCUCUAUGUUUCAGUCCCUGUGAAGGAAUAAAUCACAUUAUAUCACGUUGAAUAAGCUUUAAAUUGUAUCAUACUGAAAUAUUGGCUGCUUUAAAUGAAUUUUUCACGUCAGAUACUCGAGCACAUAUUGUGAAUUCUUGGAGGACGUGACACACACCUGGACCACUGUCACCUGUAGGCAGAAUACGAGGUACCUGC